CGCACGGUGCACGGGUGCGUAACACGUGGGCAACCUGCCCUCCAAAGGGGGAUAACCCGCCGAAAGGCGGGCUAAUACCGCAUGACAUUCCGGUGACUUCGGUCGCCGGAAUCAAAGCUCGUAAGGGCGUUGGAGGAGGGGCCCGCGGCCGAUUAGCUUGUUGGCGAGGUAACGGCUCACCAAGGCUUUGAUCGGUAGCCGGUCUGAGAGGAUGGCCGGCCACACUGGAACUGAGACACGGUCCAGACUCCUACGGGAGGCAGCAGUGGGGAAUCUUGCGCAAUGGGCGAAAGCCUGACGCAGCGACGCCGCGUGGGGGAUGAAGCUUCUCGGAGUGUAAACCCCUUUCGACCCGGACGAAACGCCCGCAAGGGCUUGACGGUACGGGUAUAAGAAGCCCCGGCUAACUACGUGCCAGCAGCCGCGGUAAGACGUAGGGGGCCAGCGUUGCUCGGAAUUACUGGGCGUAAAGGGUUCGUAGGCGGUGCGGUAAGUCGGAAGUGAAAUCUCUGGGCUUAACCCAGAGGCUGCUUUCGA
rnacentral:rRNA from 1 species